CCCCUACAGGCGUUGCAAGCGUGGCUGCCAUGUGCCACGUUUGUGUCAUUAGGUGGCAGAGAGGAACUGGCUAUGUCUACGCUCUGUGUUCCACAGCCGUGAGCACUCAGAAUGAUUAGUAGCCAGACAGGACGGCAUCUCUAUCCUUCCUUCCGCCUUUCUUGCAUGUCUGAGCCCAAGUGCGGGAUCAAAAGUGCUUGCAAACAGUGUGGGGUUUUCACACUUGAGCAGGAGGGCCUCGCUAGGGAGGUGAACCAGUUGCUAUUUUUAUUUAUUUAUAGGUGGCUUACAUGCAGUGGGUAAAACAAGAGGGCCCUGCCCGCCAGGCUUACAGUCACAAAAUACGCAGCACACAAGGAAAUGGGGAUGGGGAGGGAAGAGGAAAUGAAAGAAGUCUUUCAGCAGGGCUGGCAGAUGAGGGGGUUGGCUUCCCCCUCAUCUCCCUGCAAAAGGUCUCAAGAAGAGUUUGAAGCCAGUGAUCUGGAAGCUUAGAAGCCGUUUCCCUGGACAUCAUGCAGUCCGGAAGCUAUUCGCACCUUGAUCAUAACCUGCCACGGGCCGGAGAGAAUUGCUUUUGGGUGCCAGGUGCAAGUUUGUAUUUUGUAGUGAUUCUUGUCCCUGCCCACUUCUCCCUUUGGCUCCACCCACCCCAGAACACAGCUCCCGAAAUUGAUUUCACCUCUCGGGGCAGGAACGUUUUCUGGUGCCCCUUAGAGUUAUAAAUACUGAACAUGUCUUUGUGUUUGCAGAAAUGUGCUGACCCACCCCGGUAGGAAGCAUGUAGCCCCUGGAGACAAGUAGGAAAACCCAAAGGCACCCAGUGCCGAUCAUAGUAGCCAGUAGACGGAAGGAGCCUGCGGUUGGGGUUUGAGAGCCGAUGGUUUUACUGGGACCCGUUGAAGGUAAAGAGGGCCUCUGGCGUUGUUGGAUCCAGUUCUCCAACCCGGUGUGUUAAAACGUCGAAGCUGUGAGAGAUGAAAAUAAGAUGAAAUAACUGUCCAGCCUUCCCCAACGUGGUGCCCUCGCGUGUUUGUAUUCCAGCACGUCUGGAGGGAACGGGCUUGGGGAAAGCUAUACGAGUUCUUUGUUUGACCGAGGGCUUCCUUGCAAUGUCAGUUUUCCAUAAAGAAGUUUCCCUCCCAACCUUACAGUAACUGAACACUAUUCCCUCUCCGUGCCACUUCAGUUUUAUUUAUGUGUUGAUUGCAUUUCUAUUCCUCCCAGUAGCCAAAUCUCUCUGUGUUGAUUAUCCAUGCCUGUUUGUAAACUUCCCAGAGAGCAUUGGCGAUUGGGCAGUAUAAAAAUGCCAUAAAUAAAUACAUUUCCUCCAAACACACACAGACACUUUCUCUCAUGGCAAAUCUACACAAAACUCAGAAGCGUGGCUCCUGCAGAAGCCUCCUAGUAAACCACCUUUGAGACGUUUUCUUUUGGAAAGGCGUUUUCAGGAUAUUUGCAGUAAGGAGAAGCACUGAGCAAAAUAACCCUUUUCUGCAUAUUUCCGUCGAGGGCAGAAUAUAUUCCAGGAAGCCCGGACACAAGUCUGUGGGACCCGGUCCUCCUAUUACGAUUGGCUGCCAGUCAGGGGGGUUGAUCUCACACCCCUGAGGGCAUCUCCAAAAUUCAGUUCAGGGCUGAAUUGGGUUCAACGGCCCCCGCUGUAAAUGGUACGUCUGCAACUUUGCCAUUUUCGCAAGGGUUGAGGAGGAAAAACUGGGGCGGGUCAUGAAGGCGCUUGGUUUGAAAUGUGCAUUUUCCGGGUAGCCCUGAGUUACUAAGCCACAGAGGCCGGGCUGAUGGUAAACUGCCCCUGUAGAGACGUAAAUACGACUGCCGUGUCGUUUUUAUGCCAGGCGGAGGCAGACAGGAAAUGGUGGCAGCCUGGAAAUCUUCAUCCUUGGAGAAUUGGGAUGAAAGAUGAUGAUAGCUGCUCGACAGCAAGUGUCUGGGAAUGAAAAGGAAAGAAAGCCCACCUCACCCCAAAGUCCCUUAUGCCUUUUCACAGCAUUUAUUACACUAUUUAUACCCUUCCUUUUCCCCCUCUUGCAAGGAACCCAAAGCUGCUGACAUGGCCUUCCUCCUCUCCAUGUUAUCUUCACAACAGCCCUGUGAGGUAGAUCAGGCUAAGAGUCCAUGACUGGCCCAAAGUCGCCCCCAGUGAGGUAAACGGCCGAAUGGGGAAUAAAUCCCGGGUCUCCCCAGUCCAACGCUCCUAACCGCUGCACCACAUUUGCCUCCCUGCAAUGUUUGGUAUUUUUUAAACAGACAAUUGAUCAAAUAAAGUUUCUUGUAUUCUGUGGUGGUGUUUGAUGAAUCCUCAUAACUCCUGUUCUCUGUGUGUUGGUGCUGCAGCGUUACAUCCACAAUUUAACUGCCUAAAUAAAAAUCAGUGUUCCUCUCAA